rnacentral:rRNA from 1 species
CCCUUAGAUGUUCUGGGCCGCACACGCGCUACACUGAAGGAGGCAGCGUGUACUCCUGGAUCGAAAGAUUUGGGUAACCCGCGAAUCUCCUUCGUGCUAGGGAUUGAGGUUUGCAAUUAUCCUUCAUGAACGAGGAAUUCCCAGUAAGUGCAAGUCAUAAGCUUGCGCUGACUACGUCCCUGCCCUUUGUACACACCGCCCGUCGCUCCUACCGAUUGAAUGGUCCGGUGAAAUCUUCGGAUUGCUGGAUAGGACUUCAUUGACCUAUCUGCGAGAAGUUGCUUGAACCUUAUCAUUUAGAGGAAGGAGAAGUCGUAACA